rfam:Triticum aestivum genome assembly, contig: Triticum_aestivum_CS42_TGACv1_scaffold_289494_4AL
UGUCUACUCCCUCCGUCCGAAAAUACAUGUCAGAAAAAUGCACAAAAAUGGAUGUAUCUAUAACUAAAAUACGUCUAGAUACAUCCAUUCCUCCGACAAAUAUUUCUGGACGGAGGGAGUACAAU